UAGAGUUUGAUCCUGGCUCAGGACGAACGCUGGCGGCGUGCCUAAUACAUGCAAGUAGAACGCUGAAGAGAGGAGCUUGCUCUUCUUGGAUGAGUUGCGAACGGGUGAGUAACGCGUAGGUAACCUGCCUUGUAGCGGGGGAUAACUAUUGGAAACGAUAGCUAAUACCGCAUAACAAUGGAUGACACAUGUCAUUUAUUUGAAAGGGGCAAUUGCUCCACUACAAGAUGGACCUGCGUUGUAUUAGCUAGUAGGUGAGGUAAUGGCUCACCUAGGCGACGAUACAUAGCCGACCUGAGAGGGUGAUCGGCCACACUGGGACUGAGACACGGCCCAGACUCCUACGGGAGGCAGCAGUAGGGAAUCUUCGGCAAUGGGGGCAACCCUGACCGAGCAACGCCGCGUGAGUGAAGAAGGUUUUCGGAUCGUAAAGCUCUGUUGUAAGUCAAGAACGGGUGUGAGAGUGGAAAGUUCACACUGUGACGGUAGCUUACCAGAAAGGGACGGCUAACUACGUGCCAGCAGCCGCGGUAAUACGUAGGUCCCGAGCGUUGUCCGGAUUUAUUGGGCGUAAAGCGAGCGCAGGCGGUUUGAUAAGUCUGAAGUUAAAGGCUGUGGCUCAACCAUAGUUCGCUUUGGAAACUGUCAAACUUGAGUGCAGAAGGGGAGAGUGGAAUUCCAUGUGUAGCGGUGAAAUGCGUAGAUAUAUGGAGGAACACCGGUGGCGAAAGCGGCUCUCUGGUCUGUAACUGACGCUGAGGCUCGAAAGCGUGGGGAGCGAACAGGAUUAGAUACCCUGGUAGUCCACGCCGUAAACGAUGUGUGCUAGGUGUUGGAUCCUUUCCGGGAUUCAGUGCCGAAGCUAACGCAUUAAGCACUCCGCCUGGGGAGUACGACCGCAAGGUUGAAACUCAAAGGAAUUGAC
rnacentral:rRNA from 1 species